rnacentral:rRNA from 1 species
GGAAUUACUGGGCGUAAAGCGUGCGUAGGUGGUUUGUUAAGUCUGAUGUGAAAGCCCUGGGCUCAACCCGGGAACUGCAUUGGAAACUGGCUUACUAGAGUGCGGUAGAGGGGUGUGGAAUUCCCGGUGUAGCAGUGAAAUGCGUAGAUAUCGGGAGGAACAUCUGUGGCGAAGGCGACACCCUGGACCAGCACUGACACUGAGGCACGAAAGCGUGGGAAGCAAACAGG